rnacentral:rRNA from 1 species
UACAGAGGUCUCGAGCGUUAGGCGGAAUCACUGGGCUUAAAGCGUGUGUAGGCGGAUCGGUAGGUACCUUGUGAAAUCCCACAGCUUAACUGUGGAACUGCUUGGUAUACUGCCGGUCUUGAGCCAGCUAGGGGCUACCGGAACAAAUGGUGGAGCGGUGAAAUGCGUAGAUAUCAUUUGGAACGCCAAUGGUGAAAACAGGUAGCUGGGGCUGUGCUGACGCUGAGACACGAAAGCCAGGGGAGCAAACGGG